UGCAGAGUGGCUCGAUUGGUAAGGCGGCGCCCUCAUACGGCGAACUAUGUCGGUUCGAAUCCGGUCUCUGCAA
rnacentral:tRNA from 1 species